UUUGCUUCAUUUGAAUCCUAUCCAUGAGUAUGUUUCACUUUCUUAUAGCACUAUCCCUAAUUUCAUAGUCCAAUAUGAGUCAACAUUUUUGCCACAUUUUUAACUCAUUUUUAAGUGUGAAAGACAAGGUAAGUCACUUAAAUUGACUUUAUUUGAAAAUGGGGGAAAAUACUUCCUCCAAAACACACAAACACAAAAAAUCAGGAAUGUGAAUAAUGUCCUGUUUAAAUAGGGCAGAGAAGAUUCUGAUUGGCUGAAGGGGCUGUCAGCACUGUGUUUUGAAGCUUGUGGUCAGAUUAGAUGAGAGAAUAGGAGAAUCGUGGUACUCAAAAGAGGUACUAAGCUAGCAGGAAGGACUAACUUUAAGUCUUUAGAUAAGCCUCUGCCAUGACACUCACUGAGAUUAUAUUUAUUUUGGCUGGAACUUGCACUGUCAUGCUUUUUGGAGUGAAACUAAUAUGUCUUGUCAUGGUGCUUGCCCCGAAGAUCUGCUAUCCUCUUCCCGAGUCUUUUAUGACCUCUCUGGGAAAAUGGGCAGUGAUCACUGGAGGUUCAGAUGGAAUAGGAAGAGCAUAUGCACAAGAGCUUUCAAAAUAUGGUAUGAAUGUGGUCAUCAUCAGCAGAAAUCAAGAGAAGCUUGACAGAGCAGCCAGGACUAUAGAACUUGCUACAGGAGUGCAGGUCAAAGUAAUAGCUGCUGACUUCACCAAAGAUAAUAUAUACGGACACAUUAUGGAAUGCAUAGAGGGGCUGGAUAUUGGUAUUUUAGUGAAUAAUGUUGGCAUUCUGCCCAGCCAAAUACCUUGCAGGCUGCUUGAAACAGCAGAUUUGGAAGAGAGAAUGUAUGAUGUUAUAAACUGCAAUGUGAAAGCUAUGGUUAAGAUGUGCAAUAUUGUGCUACCAGGAAUGCAGGAAAGAGGAAGGGGAGCCGUUUUGAAUGUGUCUUCUGGCAUAGCCAAAAUACCCUGUCCUCUUUACACCUUGUAUGCGGCAUCUAAGGUUUUCGUUGAGAGAUUUUCACAGGGUCUUCAAGCAGAAUAUAGAUCCAAGGGAAUUAUCAUUCAGUCUCCUUUCUCAGACAGUGGCUCCAUUCGGGGUUUCAACAUCAAUGACAUUUCAUCAAAAGCCAGAUUUGGUCACAUUUUCAGCUGAGGAUUUUGUGAGGAGCUCCCUAAAGUAUCUGAGGGCUGGUGACCAAACAUACGGAAGCAUCACUCAUACAAUAUUGGGCUGGAUUAUGCAGGCCAUUCCCACAUGGGUCCUACGGAGUGAAGCGUUCCAGGAUAACUUUGAGGAAUAUGUGAAGGAGCGGAUUAGAAGAUGAACGUUUAUGUUCUCUCUCUCUCUUUAUAUAUAUAUAUAUACCUUACACUAUUGUGUUGUUUGCACUAAUUGACAAUAGCUGCAUCCACUUCAUGGCUUUUAAAAAUGUUAUUUAGCUAUGCAGUUGUGUAGUAUGAAUACAUUUCUUUACAUGUAAUUAUAAAUGUUUAAAAGCUGACAGCUCCUCUUCACGGCCACUUUGUUCUCAUGGGGAGAUGACAAAAUGAGAAGUUUAUCCACGGGCCUCCAAAAUAUGUUGUAUCAGUGCUGAUAAUGUAAAGUAUUUAUCCUUAAAAUGAUAUCAUAUCAUAUCAGUAGAGAGACAAGACCUUGUUAACAUAACAGACAGUUAGUCUCCCAAAAGGCCAUACAGAGGCAAGAAGAGAAAAUAAGAGAUGUGACCUUGUUAUUUCCUCAAUUGACACCGAUCAGACUGUUGAAAAGUUUACAUACCCAUUGCUCGUAAUGUAUUGUGUUGCCUUCUUGAGCAUCACUGAAUGUUUGUAUCUUUUGUAAUAAUUCUGUAUGAUUUUCUCAAAUGUCCUCGGUGUAUGAAGAUGAAUGUCAACAUUAUAUAGUCAAGUCACUGUUGGAAAGCAAUUAAAUAUACAGAAGAUGCUGGAAAAGCAAAUAAUGUGAA